rnacentral:misc_RNA from 1 species
GAACUUGUUUCGCCAUCCCUCAUCACCGUCCCCGUUUCACGUGCCACAUCAAUAGGCUACCCACUCCCAAUAUUAUACACUGGUUGGGUACUGGCAAGUGCCUAAAUAUGGCCUUGGGCAAGUGGUUUGAAGCUGCCUCGCUCUAAAACAUAGGGUGCCCGGGUUGAUUCAAGCUGGAUGGUUGACAACCACGAGAAAGCCAAGACUUUUAAUACAUACGGAUGACACCUCUCAUAUUCAGAAACUCUAUCUCAAGAAAUCAGUUUUUUAGCACCUCAGAACUGCAGAGUAGAAGACUGCAGUUUUAAUGUACCGAUUCUUAUUUCUCUA